GACGAACGCUGGCGGCGUGCUUAACACAUGCAAGUCGAACGGAAAGGCCCUGCUUUUGUGGGGUGCUCGAGUGGCGAACGGGUGAGUAACACGUGAGUAACCUGCCCUUGACUUUGGGAUAACUUCAGGAAACUGGGGCUAAUACCGGAUAGGAGCUCCUGCUGCAUGGUGGGGGUUGGAAAGUUUCGGCGGUUGGGGAUGGACUCGCGGCUUAUCAGCUUGUUUGUGGGGUAGUGGCUUACCAAGGCUUUGACGGGUAGCCGACCUGAGAGGGUGACCGGAGACAUAGGGACGGAGAUACGGAGCAGACUCGAACGGGAGGGAAAAGUGGGGAAAAUAGCACAAAGGGAGGAAGGGUGAUGAAGAAAAGCGGCGGGCGGGAUGAGGGGGUUGGGGUGGUAAAAAGAUGUCGCAUGUGACGAAGCGUGAGUGACGGUAAUGGGUAAAGAAGCACCGGCUAACUACGUG
rnacentral:rRNA from 1 species